AUACGUAGGGUGCGAGCGUUGUCCGGAAUUACUGGGCGUAAAGAGCUCGUAGGUGGUUUGUCGCGUCGUCUGUGAAAUUCCGGGGCUUAACUCCGGGCGUGCAGGCGAUACGGGCAUAACUUGAGUACUGUAGGGGAGACUGGAAUUCCUGGUGUAGCGGUGAAAUGCGCAGAUAUCAGGAGGAACACCGGUGGCGAAGGCGGGUCUCUGGGCAGUAACUGACGCUGAGGAGCGAAGGCAUGGGUAGCGAACAGGAUUAGAUACCCUGGUAGUCCAUGCCGUAAACGGUGGGCGCUAGGUGUAGGGGUCUUCCACGACUUCUGUGCCGUAGCUAACGCAUUAAGCGCCCCGCCUGGGGGGUACGGCCGCAAGGCUAAAACUCAAAUGAAUUGACGGGG
rnacentral:rRNA from 1 species